UGGGCGAAAGCCUGACGCAGCGACGCCGCGUGGGGGAUGAAGCUUCUCGGAGUGUAAACCCCUUUCGACCCGGACGAAUGACCCGCAAGGGUUUGACGGUACGGGUAUAAGAAGCCCCGGCUAACUACGUGCCAGCAGCCGCGGUAAUACGUAGGGGGCCAGCGUUGCUCGAAAUUACUGGGCGUAAAGGGUUCGUAGGUGGUGCGGCAAGUUGGGAGUGAAAUCUCUGGGCUUAACCCAGAGGCUGCUUUCAAAACUGCCGCGCUCGAGUGCGAGAGAGGCCAGUGGAAUUGCAGGUGUAGCGGUGAAAUGGGUAGAUAUCUGCAGGAACACCCGUGGCGAAGGCGGCUGGCUGGAUCGCAACUGACACUGAGGAACGAAAGCUAGGGGAGCAAACAGGAUUAGAUACCCUGGUAGUCCUAGCCCUAAACCAUCAGAACUUGGGGUGGCCCGCGUAGGCGGGUCGUCCCGUAGCUAACGCGUUAAGUUCUGCGCCUGGGGAGUA
rnacentral:rRNA from 1 species